GGACUACUCGGGUUUCUAAUCCUGUUUGCUCCCCACGCUUUCGCGCCUCAGCGUCAGUACCGUCCCAGCGAGCUGCCUUCGCCAUUGGUGUUCCUCCUGAUAUCUGCGCAUUUCACCGCUACACCAGGAAUUCCACUCGCCUCUUCCGGACUCUAGCCCGACAGUAUCGGUCGGCCUCUGAGGGUUGAGCCCCCAGUUUUCACAACCGACUUACCGGACCGCCUACGCGCUCUUUACGCCCAAUGAUUCCGGACAACGCUUGCCCCCUACGUAUUACCGCGGCGGCUGGCAC
rnacentral:rRNA from 1 species